rnacentral:rRNA from 1 species
CAUGCAAGUCGAGCGGAAUGACAGGAGCUUGCUCCUGAAUUCAGCGGCGGACGGGUGAGUAAUGCCUAGGAAUCUCCCUGGUAGUGGGGGACAACGUUUCGAAAGGAACGCUAAUACCGCAUACGUCCUACGGGAGAAAGCAGGGGACCUUCGGGCCUUGCGCUAUCAGAUGAGCCUAGGUCGGAUUAGCUAGUUGGUGAGGUAAUGGCUCACCAAGGCGACGAUCCGUAACUGGUCUGAGAGGAUGAUCAGUCACACUGGAACUGAGACACGGUCCAGACUCCUACGGGAGGCAGCAGUGGGGAAUAUUGGACAAUGGGCGAAAGCCUGAUCCAGCCAUGCCGCGUGUGUGAAGAAGGUCUUCGGAUUGUAAAGCACUUUAAGUUGGGUAGGAAGGGCAUUAACCUAAUACGUUAG